CAACCUGCUGUCUACUCUUGGACAGCCUUCUGAAAGGAAGAUUAAUACAAGAUGGCAUCAUGAGUCCGCAUGUUCACAUGAUUAAAGGUAUUCCGGUAGACGAUGGGGAUGCGUUCCAUUAGAUAGUAGGCGGGGUAACGGCCCGCCUAGUCUUCGAUGGAUAGGGGUUCUGAGAGGAAGGUCCCCCACAUUGGAUCUGAGACACGGUCCAAACUCCUACGGGAGGCAGCAGUGAGGAAUAUUGGUCAAUGGGCGAGAGCCUGAACCAGCCAAGUAGCGUGAAGGAUGACUGCCCUAUGGGUUGUAAACUUCUUUUAUAAAGGAAUAAAGUCGGGUAUGGAUACCCGUUUGCAUGUACUUUAUGAAUAAGGAUCGGCUAACACCGUGCCAGCAGCCGCGGUAAUACGGAGGAUCCGAGCGUUAUCCGGAAUUAUUGGGUCUAAAGGGAGCGUAGAUGGAUGUUUAAGUCAGUUGUGAAAGUUUGCGGCUCAACCGUAAAAUUGCAGUUGAUACUGGAUGUCUUGAGUGCAGUUGAGGCAGGCGGAAUUCGUGGUGUAGUGGUGAAAUGCUUAGAUAUCACGAAGAACUCCGAUUG
rnacentral:rRNA from 1 species